rnacentral:tRNA from 1 species
GGGCACGUGGCGAAAUGGUAUCGCGCUUGACUUCGAAUCAAGAGAUUAUAGGUUCGAGCCCUGUCGUGCUCG